rnacentral:rRNA from 1 species
AAGCUUGCUUCCUUGCCGGCGAGCGGCGGACGGGUGAGUAAUGUCUGGGGAUCUGCCUGAUGGAGGGGGAUAACCACUGGAAACGGUGGCUAAUACCGCAUAAUCUCGCGAGAGCAAAGUGGGGGACCUUAGGGCCUCAUGCCAUCAGAUGAACCCAGAUGGGAUUAGCCAGUUGGUGAGGUAACGGCUCACCAAAGCGACGAUCCCUAGCUGGUCUGAGAGGAUGACCAGCCACACUGGAACUGAGACACGGUCCAGACUCCUACGGGAGGCAGCAGUGGGGAAUAUUGCACAAUGGGCGCAAGCCUGAUGCAGCCAUGCCGCGUGUAUGAAGAAGGCCUUCGGGUUGUAAAGUACUUUCAGUCAGGAGGAAGGGUGUGAGCCUAAUACGUUCAUGCAUUGACGUUACUGACAGAAGAAGCACCGGCUAACUCCGUGCCAGCAGCCGCGGUAAUACGGAGGGUGCAAGCGUUAAUCGGAAUUACUGGGCGUAAAGCGCACGCAGGCGGUUGGUUAAGUCAGAUGUGAAAUCCCCGGGCUCAACCCGGGAACUGCAUUUGAAACUGGCUGGCUUGAGUCUCGUAGAGGGAGGUAGAAUUCCAGGUGUAGCGGUGAAAUGCGUAGAGAUCUGGAGGAAUACCGGUGGCGAAGGCGGCCUCCUGGACGAAGACUGACGCUCAGGUGCGAAAGCGUGGGGAGCAAACAGG